UGGGGAAUUUUGGACAAUGGGCGCAAGCCUGAUCCAGCCAUGCCGCGUGCAGGAUGAAGGCCUUCGGGUUGUAAACUGCUUUUGUACGGAACGAAAAGGUGCCUUCUAAUAAAGGGCGCUCAUGACGGUACCGUAAGAAUAAGAACCGGCUAACUACGUGCCAGCAGCCGCGGUAAUACGUAGGAUGCGCGCGUUAAUCGGAAUUACUGGGCGUAAAGCGUGCGCAGGCGGUUUUUUAAGACAGAGGUGAAACCCCCGGGCUCAACCUGGGACCUGCCUUUGUGACUGCAAAGCUGGAGUGCGGCAGAGGGGGAUGGAAUUCCGCGUGUAGCAGUGAAAUGCGUAGAUAUGCGGAGGAACACCGAUGGCGAAGGCAAUCCCCUGGGCCUGCACUGACGCUCAUGCACGAAAGCGUGGGGAGCAAACA
rnacentral:rRNA from 1 species